rnacentral:rRNA from 1 species
GACGAACGCUGGCGGUGUGCUUAACACAUGCAAGUCGAACGGAAAGGCCCUGCUUUUGUGGGGUGCUCGAGUGGCGAACGGGUGAGUAACACGUGAGUAACCUGCCCUUGACUUUGGGAUAACUUCAGGAAACUGGGGCUAAUACCGGAUAGGAGCUCCUGCUGCAUGGUGGGGGUUGGAAAGUUUCGGCGGUUGGGGAUGGACUCGCGGCUUAUCAGCUUGUUGGUGGGGUAGUGGCUUACCAAGGCUUUGACGGGUAGCCGGCCUGAGAGGGUGACCGGCCACAUUGGGACUGAGAUACGGCCCAGACUCCUACGGGAGGCAGCAGUGGGGAAUAUUGCACAAUGGGCGGAAGCCUGAUGCAGCAACGCCGCGUGCAGGAUGACGGCCUUCGGGUUGUAAACCGCUUUCGCCUGUAACGAAGCGUGAGUGACGGUAAUGGGUAAAGAAGCACCGGCUAACUACGUG